rnacentral:rRNA from 1 species
AACGCGAAGAACCUUACCUGGGCUUGAACUACUGGAAGUAAGAUUCCGGAAACGGAAGAUGACCUGUCAAAUCAGGAACCAGCAGAGGUGCUGCAUGGCUGUCGUCAGCUCGUGUCGUGAGAUGUUGGGUUAAGUCCCGCAACGAGCGCAACCCUUAUCCCAUGUUGCUCAAUGGUCGCAAGGCCAUCGUACUCUUGGGAAACUGCCUCGGAUAACGGGGAGGAAGGUGGGGAUGACGUCAAGUCCUCAUGGCCUUUAUGUCCAGGGCUACACACGUGCUACAAUGGCCGGUACAACGGGAUGCAAGUUCGCAAGGAUGAGCCAAUCCCUUAAAACCGGCCCCAGUUCAGAUUGUGGGCUGCAACUCGCCCACAUGAAGGCGGAAUCGCUAGUAAUCGCAGAUCAGCAGGCUGCGGUGAAUACGUUCCCGGGCCUUGUACACACCGCUACAGU